GACGAACGCUGGCGGCGUGCUUAACACAUGCAAGUCGAACGGAAAGGCCCUGCUUUUGUGGGGUGCUCGAGUGGCGAACGGGUGAGUAACACGUGAGUAACCUGCCCUUGACUUUGGGAUAACUUCAGGAAACUGGGGCUAAUACCGGAUAGGAGCUCCUGCUGCAUGGUGGGGGUUGGAAAGUUUCGGCGGUUGGGGAUGGACUCGCGGCUUAUCAGCUUGUUGGUGGGGUAGUGGCUUACCAAGGCUUUGACGGGUAGCCGGCCUGAGAGGGUGACCGGCCACAUUGGGACUGAGAUACGGCCCAGACUCCUACGUGAGGCAGCGUUGGUGAAUAUUGCACAAUGGGCGGAAGCCUUAUGCAGCAACUCCGCGUGCGUGAUGACGGCCUUCGUGUUGUAAACCGCUUUCGCCUGUGACGAGGCGUGAGUGACGGUAAUGGGUAAAGAAGCACCGGCUAACUACGUG
rnacentral:rRNA from 1 species